UCAUUGCCAAGACUUUCGUAUUCUAAAUAAAUGGUAUACCACAAAACCUAUUUUUGUUAGAACCACACAUAAUCCUAUAGGCCUAACUAUAAAUAGAGGCAACAAAGCUGCGCAUAGCGAGAGGUAAGAUUGUAUCACACAUAUUGGUUGCUUGCCUUCUAUCAAGAAACAUUCACGAGGACUCCAAGGUUCAAAUGGCUAAUGUCUGUGACAUUUGUGGUACUGGUGUAAUACUGUGAACCUUAUAUCAUGGACAAGUACCAAAAUUCUGGGCGAUAGUUCCAGACAGUCGUCGUUAUGGGAUUAAUGUACCUUCCUAAGACGUUAAGCAGUUUAGGUACUACAUCGAGCAACGAUAUUUCACAGCCGAGACUUCUCAUGGAUCUAGCUAGAGGAUGUGUGCGAGAGACAAUGGAGAUAGAAUUUGUAUAGAGGGCAUUGGAUGAGAUUGCUUUUGCUACGACUACGAUAUAAGAAGGGGAUACACGAUACAUUUUUGCUACAACUGUAGAGAUACUGUGAUGUAUAUAUCGCCAAUACAUCCAGAUGGUGAACCAAAGGAUAUAAUUAAUGACGUAUUUGACGAAGGAGAAAGACCUGUUGCGUACAACAAUAAGUUUAACUGAACACAAAGGCAAGUCGACAACAUGCACACUUUAUUGCAGAUGUAUGCGGACUAUCCUGCGAAGAUCCAUUUCUUUGCAACUGCCAACAUAUAUGGUAAUCAUUGGGUAAGUAAAAUACAAUAUCACCACUUCACAUUUUAAUAAAAUUUAUUCUUUUUUAAUGCAUGUAAUAUAUAGACCAAUAGUUGGGAGGCUUGGUCUACAACAAUAUGGUUCACUUUUACUGAAAUAAGCAGGCAAACACAGCAAUCAAUAGAAGUUGAUUAUCAUUCUAAAAGAGAUGGCCGUCUCGAAAUUAAUGGUCCUGCAUGGAGUAAUUUUGUAAGUCAACAUGAGAUAUAUGUUGAUGUGUGGGUAGUAAUACUUGUUAUUCCUGGAAACAAUAGGCCAGAAGUGACAUUGAGAUUCAAAGCAAUAACAAUAGUUUAAAGGCAAGUAUUAAGUUCUGAUGAAGAUUCUGAUUCGGAAGAUGAAGACUAGAACCAUUUUUUUAUAUAUUGUUUAGAAUAAGUUCUUUUUUAACUAUGUAUUACAAUGAUUUAUAUUUUUUUUUAGAAUAGGUUCUUUUUUAACUAACUACUACAAUUAUUUAUAUAAUUUUUGAGAGUGUGUAUUCCAAUUAUUCAUAUUUAUUUUUAGAGUAUGUGUUCUACAUCAACCAAUAAUACAGAGUACGUAUGGACAAAAAAAUUGGGCAUGACUUAUGCUAAAAAUGAAAACAUUCAAUGUCCAAAAUGUUGCGAAAAGGAAAUUAAUCAACUUUUGGCGAUACAUUAGACACUCCUUUGAAGCCCUGUUAAUCAAUUCAUCUAGAAUCUAUAUUUUUUGCUGUGUCAUCUACAAUCUAUAAUGACGUGCAUAUAAAUACCAUCAUUAAUCUAAAACCUAACAUGAAUCAAAUUUAAUUAUCUACACACUGCUUGCACGCGAGGCGGAUGAUAACCCACAAGUAUAGGGGAUCAAUUGUAGCCUUUCUCUAUAAGUAAGACUGUCAUGAGGAGCUAAAGGUAGAACAAAUAUUCCCUCAAGUUCUAUUGACCAUCGAUACAACUCUAUGCACGCUUAAUGUUCACUUUACCUAGAACCAGUGGCGAAUCCAGAACGAAAUUGGAGGGUGGGCUCAAAGUUAACGCCAAAAAAAUAAAACGUUCCUUUCAAGAGAAACAACAUCAUCUCAUAAUUCUUUUAUCCAAAUGAGCUGAGAAUAUCAACGAAUACCACUGUUCAAGAUAUCU